UACAGAGGGUGCAAGCGUUGUUCGGAAUUAUUGGGGGUAAAGCGCGUGUAGGCGGCUUUGCAAGUCGGGUGUGAAAGCCCUCAGCUCAACUGAGGAAGUGCGCCCGAAACUGCAGAGCUUGAGUGCGGGAGAGGGUGGCGGAAUUCCCCAAGUAGAGGUGAAAUUCGUAGAUAUGGGGAGGAACACCGGUGGCGAAGGCGGCCACCUGGACGGUAACUGACGCUGAGACGCGAAAGCGUGGGGAGCAAACAGG
rnacentral:rRNA from 1 species